GGCGGAGUAGCUCAGUUGGUGAGAGCGCACGACUCAUAAUCGUGAGGUCGCGGGUUCGAGUCCCGCCUCCGCUACCG
rnacentral:tRNA from 1 species